rnacentral:rRNA from 1 species
UACGUAGGUGGCAAGCGUUUGUCCGGAUUUACUGGGCGUAAAGAGCGCGCAGGCGGUCGUACAAGUCGCGUGUGAAAGCCCCCGGCUCAACUGGGGAGGGUCACGCGAUACUGUUCGACUCGAAGGCAGGAGAGGGAAGUGGAAUUCCCGGUGUAGUGGUGAAAUGCGUAGAUAUCGGGAGGAACACCAGUGGCGAAGGCGACUUCCUGGCCUGUUCUUGACGCUGAGGCGCGAAAGCUAGGGUAGCAAACGGG